CCUACGGGUGGCUGCAGUGGGGAAUAUUGGACAAUGGGCGAAAGCCUGAUCCAGCCAUGCCGCGUGUGUGAAGAAGGCCUUCGGGUUGUAAAGCACUUUCAGUGGGGAAGAAAGCCUUGGGGCUAAUACCCUCGAGGAAGGACAUCACCCACAGAAGAAGCACCGGCUAACUCCGUGCCAGCAGCCGCGGUAAUACGGAGGGUGCGCGCGUUAAUCGGAAUUACUGGGCGUAAAGCGCGCGUAGGCGGUCUGAUAAGCCGGUUGUGAAAGCCCCGGGCUCAACCUGGGAACGGCAUCCGGAACUGUCAGGCUAGAGUGCAGGAGAGGAAGGUAGAAUUCCCGGUGUAGCGGUGAAAUGCGUAGAGAUCGGGAGGAAUACCAGUGGCGAAGGCGGCCUUCUGGACUGACACUGACGCUGAGGUGCGAAAGCGUGGGUAGCAAACAGGAUUAGAUACCCAUGUAGUC
rnacentral:rRNA from 1 species